GGUCAAACAGAGACCGAGAUAAGGCAUUUGGAAAGUGGAAUGUCUUCAAGCGCUCACAACCCUCAGCCAGUCGGACAUGGCGAUCAGUGGAAAGUUCACUUUAACUUUCUAUAGGGAAUUAGAGGAAGGUAAGUGCGACGCAAUGCU